UUCAUUUUGUAGAAGAAUGGAUGAUUUAAGUAGUUAACAAUGCUUCUAUAAGUCAGGGAAAUCAAUUUGAAUGAAGCUUUCGUUGAAGAACCCUAAAAACAAUAAAACAAAAUGACAUAACAAUAAAAUUGAAAAAAUUUUUAUAGAAAAAAAUUUACAAAAUUUUUAAAGAAAAAACUAAUUGAAAUUUGAGAAUUUUGCAAAUGCGCGCAGCAAUUUAAGUUAUGCAACUGAACUUUAGUGUAUAGAGUCUCUGGGAUCUUUGAAUCAAUUUACACAAUCUUGAUUGCUUUUCGACAGAUUGACCACCAUCCAGUUCCCAGUCGCAGCUGUAUUUGCUGAUUGCAUUAUAAGCCGCUAAUGUUGGCAUUUGUACAAAAGCGAAAUAUUUAAUAAACUUGCAAAAGGAUAAUGGAGGAAUCAGGUGAAUUGAAGGAAGCAACUGGCAAAAACAGACAUGAUAUGCAAUGCGAAGAUGCGUAAAGAAUGAUGAGCAGAAGGGAAGGAAUAUGAACAAGAAAUGUAAAUAGAAGGGUUAUUUAUAUAGAGAAGGCAUUUGUGUUAAAAAUUUCCAAUUUUCAAUCUAAGAAAUUUGUGAAAAAAAAAUUAAAAUUUUAUUUCCAUUGA
rnacentral:sRNA from 1 species